AUGUGAUUUUGCUUUGUAUAAUGCAACUUUCUUUUUCGUUUCUCAAAUCACCUAGUCAACUAACAAACACAUUAACCAUCUUGUCUGUGUUAAAGGAGCAGCAUAUGAAGAAUCAGGUAUACUUUUUGUGCUUCCAUUAGGCAUCUAAAUUAGUAUUUCUCCUCCUUAAAAGCCAGAUAAAUUUAUCUUUAGUAUUUAUAUCUA
rnacentral:misc_RNA from 1 species